ACACUCAGGGAGACUGGACUUAAACAGCUACACCACCAGAAGCCGAGAGAGAGGCUGGAACAUAGCCUUCCCUUUGGAGCCCUAGCAGAUGCUAAUCCAGCGUGCAUCCUGACAGAGGUUGAAGGGAGCUCCUCAAGUCCCAGGUCCAGCUUGGUGUGGUUCAGCUACUCGAGAGACAUCUGCUGCUAAUGGAUGAGCAGUCAGCCUGGAUGCAGGAAAUCAUUUUUUAUUUGGAAUAACUGGGAGAUGAAACAGGAAGCUCUAUGACACACUUGAUCGAAUAUGACAGACACCGAAAAUCACGACUCAGCCCCCUCCAGCACCUCUACCUGUUGCCCGCCGAUCACAGCCAGAAUGCAGCUGAAAGAUUCCCUGGGGCCUGGUUCCAACCGCCCGCUGUGGACUCUGAGGCCUCUGCAUUUGCGGGUGGUCUGCCUGUGA
rnacentral:lncRNA from 1 species